CCUGUGCCGACCCCCCUUCUCCCCCGCUUUUCCCUCCCCCGGCUUAUUCUUUUCAUUGCAUUAUCAUCAUUCAUUUCUCUCUUUCUUCACCCACUUCCCCCCUCCCCGGCCCUGCCAUCCAUCCUCCUCCUCCUCCCAUCGCCCCCGCCUCUUUUCCCCCUUUAUCUAAUCAGCAUAAAAUGGUUCUAAAGCUCCUGUUGGAGCUCGAGGCUGCGGUCGGAGCGGCUGAAGCCGCGGUGGCGGCUUCAGCUCAAGCUGCGGCUGUUGUCGCCGCCGCUGCCCAUUGUGAUUGGUGGCUCGCGCUCGGCUGGAGCGUGCCGCUAAUUUAUUAAUGAAUGGAGGUCGCGAGGCGCAGCUGGCCAAUCAGGGCGCCCCGGACUCCGGGAGGCCUGCGAGCCACGCGCACCGGAGCCCGCUCCCUUUCAGCCGCUCAUUAGGGGCCGGGGCGCCGGGGGCCGUUGGGGAGACCGAAGCUACCGCCCCCGCCCCCGGUCCUUGCGGCCGCACCCCACCCCCCAGCCCCGGCGCGCGCGCUCGCACAGAACCCGGCGCUUCCCCGCCUCUCAGCUCCCGGACGUCGGGAUGCGAGGAAUUAGUUAAUGGGGGUCAGAAUGCCGGGGAAAGCAACCAGGCUCUGGUGCUGCCGGGAGUCUCUUGGCAAAGCCUCUUAGGAGCUGUAUCAAAUAGUAAAUGAUUUUAAAAACGCAGUCAUUUGGUUAAGGGAGGAAUAUGCGGUGGGGGUGGCGAGUUGUGGACACCUGGUGGGCAAGCACGUUUAGGUUCCAGAGAGACUGGCGUGUGAGGGUGAAGGAAGAGGACGUUGGAGGGUUCAUCGAGGCGUCUCCCAGAAGGAGAGCGAUCGAGUGUGGGCGAGGUCGAUGGGCUUUUGGAGGACGUGAGAAUAAAAGCACUCAGGUGUUAGAGCUAAAAGGGCUUCCGUAUUUUACCUGUGACAAACUGAGUCUCCGGGAACUGCCACAGGUUUUGUUUGUUUUGUUUUUCGGGUUAACCUCAGUUUACCGCAGGGACAGGCAACCAGGUGGCUUCCUGCGACGGUGACAGCGAGCGGAGUGGGAGGAGCGGCCGACCUGCCGCUCCCGCGAACGCCUGGGCUGCGCUGACAUUUCCGUGACCUCUGCUUCACGCUGGGGGGCGUUGUAGGGACAUGGGGCCCGUCCUCCUCAUACUCGCGGCUUUUCAACGGGAAAAUAGAGCUGAGGGGUACUGGACUUCGGAGGAAACUUGUUCUGCAUUGCUCGUCAGCCCUCCCUCUCCCCUCCCCACGCUCAUCCCACCCUCUUGUAGACGUGGCUGACUUUUCUUAGAGACAGAAGCAGACCCCCGAGAAGUGUGUGCUGCGCGGAGCAUUAGACCAUGCAUGAGUUGUGGCGAUGGCUCUGGACUCGGUAGAUAGGAGAGGACUCCCUUGAGAUCCCUUUUGCAAAUUAAGUUUAACCAAGGCGCAUUUGGAAUGCUGGGAGUUGAAAAGUGGCAAGGGAAAAAGAUAAUUGUCUGCGGGUCUGUGUCUCAUUCAGUUUGUAGGAGUUGGAAACAAGUUUAUUUCAGAGAAGGGCAUGAUGAAAGUGGUCGUUAGUGUUUUGGCAUGAUUUUAAUUUGUUUAAUAUUUUCUGCAGGGAGUAAGCAGGAUUGGAAGGCACAAAGUAAAGAAAAUGAAAAAUUAGAAUCCCGCGAAAGAAACCUUUGCCCACUCCAGCUCUCCAAACUCCAGACUUUCUUCUGUCUCGGAAUGAUUUUACAGCUGCCAUGAUUUUCACUUUGCUUGAUGAUAUUUGUGUUUUGCCUCUCCUCCCUUUUGAAAAACAAGUUCCCUAAAUUUAUUUUUUUUAAGAUUUUAUUUAUUUAUUUGAUAGUGAGACAGCCAGCGAGAGAGGGAACACAAGCAGGGGGAGUGGGAGAGGAAGAAGCAGGCUCAUAGCGGAAGAGCCUGAUGUGGGCCUCGAUCCCAUAAGGCCUGGAUCACGCCCUGAGCCGGAGGCAGACGCUUAACCGCUGUGCCACCCAGGCCCCCCAAGUUCCCUAAAUUUAAAAGCAGUAUUUCCCCAGGUUACCUCCUCCGUCUUUUAGGAGCAGCUUGAUUUCAUUUGUGAGAAGUGCAAAAAUGUAUAAAGAUGGGAGAGACACUUUCAGUCUCCAACAUACAGUAGCUGCCUCUCUCACACUUCUUUGGGUCUCUGGUUCUGUAUCAUGAGCCUGCAGUAUCAGAACUUCAGGAAAGAGUUGGAUCAAGAAGAAGAUGUGUGCGUAGUAAAAGUUACCAGAAGUGCUUACGGUGGCUGCAUGUAAGCCUCAGCAUUAUUUUCCAGCUUUUGAGAGAAGCGUCACUCAGUAAUAGAACACUUCUGGAAAUAUUUCCCACUAUGAAGAAUAUUAUUUUU